rnacentral:rRNA from 1 species
AGCUUGUACAGGUGCUGCAUGGCUGUCGUCAGCUCGUGUCGUGAGAUGUUCGGUUAAGUUCCGCUAACGAGCGCAACCCUCGCUGUGUGUUUACAAGUGUCACACGGAACUGCCGGUCAUAAACCGGAGGAAGGUGGGGAUGACGUCAAGUCAGCAUGGCCUUUAUAUCCUGGGCUACACACACGCUACAAUGGGAAGGGACAAUAGGUUGCGAAGCCGCGAGGCGGAGCCAAUCCAGCAAAACUUACCCUCAGUUCAGAUUGCAGGCUGCAACUCGCCUGCAUGAAGUUGGAGUUGCUAGUAAACGCAGGUCAGCCAUACUGCGUUGAAUACGUUCCCGGGGCUU